rnacentral:rRNA from 1 species
CCUACGGGGGGCAGCAGUGAGGAAUAUUGGUCAAUGGGCGCGAGCCUGAACCAGCCAAGUAGCGUGAAGGAUGACUGCCCUACGGGUUGUAAACUUCUUUUAUAAAGGAAUAAAGUGGCACACGUGUGCGUUUUUGUAUGUACUUUAUGAAUACGGAUCGGCUAAAUCCAUGUCAGCAGCCGCGGUAAUACGGAAGAUCCGAGGGUUGUCCCGAUUUAUUGGGUUUAAAGGGAGGGGAGAGGGGUGUGUAAGUCAGUUGUUAAAGUUUGGGGCCCCAACGUAAGAUUGCAAUUGAUACUGGCAGACUUGAGUAAAGUAGAGGUAGGCGGAAUUCGUGGUGUAGCGGUGAAAUGCUUAGAUAUCACGAAGAACUCCGAUGGCGAAGGCAGCUUACUGGAUCGACACUGACGCUGAGGCUCGAAAGUGUGGGUAUCAAACAGGAUUAGAUACCCCAGUAGUC